AAUGGCCGGCGACGCCAUUAGCGGUCUGCUCGCGAAUGUAAAUAUUAUUCUCCCUACACUUGCGUAAAUACUUAUUAUUUCCAUUAUCCAAACCGAAUCUCACGCACAACGAGUUUUACCACAUUUGUCAGUGAACAUAUGUGACCAAGUGCAGUAAAAAUCAUGGGCCUUUAAGUCCCAUAUUCACGAUUUUCAACAUAAAGAAAAUUCGAUUACUGUCUGAAUCUAUUUGUAGAUCAUGCACAAUGAACGUGUCACGGUGUGUGCUCAUUUAGAACUCGUGAAACAAGAAUAAAAUCGAAAACAACAGCAUUAAAGUGACGUUGGUGCAUCAAUAUGGUGUCCUGUGUUGAUCAGUGUUCGAUGAUUGUGCUCUGAAUGUCACGAAAAAUCGGGAUUUUCAUCGCUUUUGAGGCCACCAGUUGAUAGGUUUAUUGAGGCGACAUUUGUGCCCACUGAUAGCUCAUCGUUGUGGUGAAAUCACCUCGUAAAUUUUAACGUAAAUAUUGGGAGGAAAAAAUCUGGAGGAUAAUGAGAAGCAGGUGCUACCCACACAUAUCUGUUGAAUAUGAACUACAUUGACGAUCAACGUUGGAUUAUUCGUCAUUUGGAACAUGAUCACAAUCGAGGAUUGAUCCGGGCAGAGUGAUUGAUACGAGAGACGGAGACAUCAAAGGAGACGAGUAAAACAGAGACAACUGAACUGUGGUGUUAUUGAAUAAGACAAUUGUUCGCCAUGAGCCUUGUGAAAAUUUGUUGAUGAUGUGUGACGAGGUGGAGUAUCUGUUGGGAAAAAACAUGAGUUUAAAUUCAUUAUUUCAAACAGUUUGUGAUCCUUCGUAACGGAGCUACGACUAACGAUGGCGAAUGAUACGUUGAAUGCAGCAUAUCCACUCCAUAAGUGUAUUUUUCAAGGGGAUAUCAAGACGCUGAGUUUUCUGCUGAGAACUCAUGAUAUCGCCGAGAAAGACAAACAUGGUAACACACCACUUCAUUUAGCAGUGAUGCUGGGCAGAAAAGAAUGUGUCCAACUGUUGCUUGCUCACGGUGCCCCAGUGAAAGUAAAAAAUCUGUCUGGCUGGAGUCCCCUCGCCGAGGCAACAAGUUACGGCGACAGACAGACAAUAUCCUCCCUAUUGCGAAAAUUAAAGCAACAAGGACGUGAACAAAUGGAGAAGAGACGUCCAAAUUUGGUGGAAGCACUUCGUAAAAUGGGUGAUUUUUACAUGGAAUUAAAAUGGGAUUUUCAAAGUUGGGUACCUCUUGUAUCACGAAUAUUACCAAGUGACAUAUGUAGAAUACACAAAUGUGGUUCAUCGAUACGUAUGGACACAACACUAGUUGAUUUCAAUGACAUGAGAUGGGAGCGUGGUGACAUAUCAUUCAUAUUCAAUGGCGAACAAAAACCAGGUGAAUCAUUGACUGUACUCGAUAACAAAGCCAAGAUAUAUCAACAAGUGAAGUACGAAGAAACUGAAUUAGAAAUUGAGGAUGAAGUUGAUAUACUCAUGUCAAGUGAUAUUAUGGCAGCACAAAUGUCGACAAAGGGAAUAACAUUUUCCAGAGCUCAAACUGGUUGGAUAUUCAGAGAGGACAAGAGAGAAAUGAUUGGAAAAUUUAAUGCUGAUUUUUAUCAGAUUAAUGGAAUUGUUUUUGAGAGUAGAAAGAGACGUGAACAUCUGAGUGAGGAAGAUUUACAGAAAAAUAAAGCUAUCGUGGAGUCAUUGACGAAGGGCAGCUCACAGGGAUUUUCAAAUGGUGAACCAUUGACAAGACGAGCAUCACUUAAUCCACCACCUGAUAACAAAAUCACAUGGGAAGCUUAUCUGGAGGCAUCUCCAGGGGAAUGUCCAAUUUUAGGGAGAAAUCUGGUCUAUAAGGAGAGCAGCAAAUCAUUCAAAGCAACGGCUGCUAUGAGCUCUGAUUUUCCACUUACUGUUGAUAUGCUGUUGAAUGUUUUGGAAGUUAUUGCACCGUUUAAACACUUCAGCAAACUUCGUCAAUUUGUGUUAAUGAAAUUACCACCUGGAUUUCCGGUUAAAAUUGACAUACCAAUUCUGCCUACAGUUACCGCUAAGAUAACAUUUCAAGAAUUUACGUUCAAACACGACAUUGAUCCUGAAUUAUUUCAAGUACCAUCAGACUAUUUUGAAGAUCCUAUGAGUUACUAUGGAGCGUAUUUGGCAAUGAUGAUGGUCCUGCAUACUGCCUCAUCUGUCUGAUCAGGAGACAUUAAUUGGAAACGUAGCAGUGAAGAACAAUUACUCGUGUACUAUAAUUUCCAGACUUAUGACGCAUUGAUACUCUACCACUAAUCGAAGUCAAUUAUCGGACUGGCUCAGGAUCAUUCUCUGUAUUAGGGGACCGUUUGGCAUUAGAUUUUCCACUGGGUGUGAGCCUCGGUAGUAUACAUCGAUAUACCCCAGUCACUGUGUGCUCUUAUUGAGAUAAAAAUGACAAGUGUUUGACGUGCACCGUCUACUUCCUUUAAUUCAUAAUACGAUAAUGAUAUUCUUUGUUACAUUUAUAACAAUUGACCCAAAAAUAUUAGAGCGAUAUUGUUUACGUUGAAGAAUCAAUAAUUUAUCUGAACCCUUCGUUGCGUACGUGAGGUAGACUCAUUCGAUGUGCUCUGGUAUUUAAAAAAAAAUAACUGUUUUGUUAACGAAAGUGGAAACUAACUUGGCAGCACAGAAUUCUCCAUUUCAUUUCAUCAUUUAACAUACGGCAUUCAAGGCUCGCUAAAAUGUGCAAAAAAUUGUAAUUAGUUCAUUUUCUUAUUUAAAAUGAGCACUUUAAGCUCAAUAAUUGAUAUUACUGCAAAAAUUAGUUUAUGAAGCCUUUGAAUACGGUCUUUGAGUUUUUUAUUUCACUACACAAGACAAGAAUCCUUAGGGUAUUAGGAAAUUUUAUUGGAUUUUCGAUUUUUGCAGAUUUUAUUGCUAAAUUUUGCUGCACUUUAUUCUGUUUAUAGAAAGUUAAUUGAACAGAACUGUUCGGGACCGCCGAUUCUAUUGAAAUUGUCAAAUAGAUGUUCCUUUUGUUUCUUCUAUUACAGAUUUCUAAGAAAAUUUUUCAGUAGAAAUUCUGGAAAUUUUUGGUUGUUGUUGCGGACCUCACUGACAAUUUUGCCGCUUUUCUACGUAUAUUAUUUCAUAAAUUAAAGAUUAAUAGGUAUAAAUCCUUCUGCAUGACGGAUAUUAUUGAAACGUUUUUAAUAGAAAUAUUUUACGUUAGUUUCCUAUUUGUUUGCUUUUUUGUUCUCCCAUAGAAAACUUAUCAAUAAAAUGAAUGUCCUUUCAGUUUUAUAUUUUUUUUACUGCUUUAAAGAACAUUCAAUAAAAAUCCAAUAGAAUUUCUCUACGAUAUAUUUUCGGGCAACUUCCCAUUCCAAUUCGACGCUUCAUUAACAAAUACAAUUGCUACAUUUUCAGAUACGAUCACUAGUGGAACAUUUCCUCUCGCUUCUAAUAAAAACUAGUGUCGACUCAUUCAUUCGAAGAUUUUCCUCCCUCAUAUUGCGAAAAGUAUCCAGUCCGUCGACGAUGAAAUGUAAUUUUGUACUGAAUUUCCUAUUUCGAAGAAGUUCGAAAAAAGUGAGAAUGAACAUUUGAUUGUUUAAGCACGAGAUUAUUGAAGAGCACUAUAUUUUUUUAAUCCUCUAAUUAUAUUUUUUAUUUAUUGACGGUAGCUCAAUCCUUCAUUUACCAAUGCAAGAGUGUUUGAUUCACUAAUCGUUGGGUGUUUCAUUAUCAUAUGAUCACUGCGCUAAUGGAAACUGCACUAGAAUUUUUGCGUAAAAAAUGUCGAAUUCACUUCAAUUUUAAUGCAAAAUAAUUGGAUUAAAUUGGAUUUUUAUUGUUUUCUGAUCACAAAGACAGUAACAUGUCACUCACUCAAAAUGUUGAUGAUAUUUAGAACCGAAAAUAUUGAUAUUUUCAAUGAGAAUGGGAAAUUAAUGGAACUGACAUGAGAUGAAUUGAUUACCGAAGUGGUACAACAAAAUAAAUCACUUUUGACAAGUGAAUAUCUCAAUAUCUAAAAGAGAUAGAACAUUUUUUAUCAAAUCCUUUUUUUUGGAGAAAAUUCAGUGCUACAACAAAUGUUAUAACAAAAAUCUCGCUAUCUCUCUUAGAUUCGAAGAUAUUGUCCAAAAACUCGACUCAGAAAUAAGUCAACUUAUCUAGUUUUACCACUUCGCUGCUGAGAUGUCAUAAAAUCGUGGCCUUGUGGUGUCAACUCGAUCUAUUUAAUUAAAUUAUACCGAAAUAAGUUAACUCAAGGAUCAAUCUCAGUAUUUUCAAAUUAUUCAACAAUUGGAACAGCAUUUUUCUACUCUACACAUACCGCUAUCAGUACAGAUACAUAAAUUGUUCAAGGAAGAAGCAAGGAUAACAAAUAUAUCUAUUUUUACACUGUCAAAUCAAUCUGACACCAAUGAACAUUCUCAAAAAACACCUUUCGUGCAUUUCAACACAGUUACAGUGACAGCGUAGAAAUUUGCACCUCUAAUUAGCCUGAAAUCAGUCAAAUAGUCCCCAGAAUUCCUACACAUCAAUAUUAUAAUCAUAAGUAUUAUGAUCUGUUAAUUUUUACAUAACUAUUUCAUAAAAUGUUGUCAUUACCAUCAUGAAGCCAAGGUGGAUGAUUUAUUUACCUCCCGAAUUUAUUUCUGUUUCAAACUAUUAGCGUAAUUCAUAAUUUUCGUGCUUGGAACGGUUCCAAAGUAAUUAAAAUGUUUUAGAAAUGUUUGUAUACCAAUGUAUAAAAAAUAUACAUAAUUUUUCUUUUUCAGAAA